GCUUGCUUCAGCAACACGUAAACUAAAAAACUGAAACGACACAGAGGAGAUCAGUAUGGCUCCUGUGCAAGGAUGACGGUCAUGUUUACCAUCCGAGCCACUUUAGC
ensembl:snRNA U6 U6 spliceosomal RNA